rnacentral:rRNA from 1 species
GACGAACGCUGGCGGCGUGCUUAACACAUGCAAGUCGAACGGAAAGGCCCUGCUUUUGUGGGGUGCUCGAGUGGCGAACGGGUGAGUAACACGUGAGUAACCUGCCCUUGACUUUGGGAUAACUUCAGGAAACUGGGGCUAAUACCGGAUAGGAGCUCCUGCUGCAUGGUGGGGGUUGGAAAGUUUCGGCGGUUGGGGAUGGACUCGCGGCUUAUCAGCUUGUUGGUGGGGUAGUGGCUUACCAAGGCUUUGACUGGUAGCCGGCCUGGGAGGGUGACCGGCCACAUUAGGACUGAGAUACGGACCAGACUCCUACGGGAGGCAGCAGUGGAAAAUAUUACACAAUGGGCGGAAGCCUGAUACAGCGACGCCGCGUGCGGAAUGACGGCCUUCGGGUUAUAAACCGCUUUCGCCUUUGACGAAGCGUUAGUGACGGUAAUGGAUAAAGAAGCACCGGCUAACUACGUG